GGUCAAGCUACAAAGGGCUCACGGCGGAUACCUUGGCACAUAGAGGCGAUGAAGGACGUGGUUACCUGCGAUAAGUCUCGGGGAGCUGGAAGCACGCUUUGAUCCGGGAAUUUCCGAAUGGGGCAACCCCUAGUACGGCCAGCUGAAUCCAUAGGCUGGUGCGAGCCAA
rnacentral:rRNA from 1 species